rnacentral:tRNA from 1 species
UGUUCAGUGGCUUAGUUGGUUAAAGCACUGGCCUUACAAAUACAGAGGCGUGGGUUUGAAUCCCAUCAGUACGU